AUAUUUUUUUUUUCCUUCCAAGUCGAUUUUAUUGAUCCCUUUCGAAAGUUUUACGCACCCAACGUGAUCUUGCACUGCCUUCGGUAUCGGAGACAUUCGCCGCCG
rnacentral:lncRNA from 1 species